rnacentral:lncRNA from 1 species
GCCGUAGGAACUCUCAAAAAUGUCAGGCUGAAAAAAUCAGACACAGCUUAACAGCCCAUGUAAAGUAUACAGAACAAUAAUCAUUUUGAUAGCAUGCCAUUCUCAUGUGUCAGUCCAAUCAGAGGAAGUUAAAGUGAAACAGAGUCACAUCUGAAUAGACUGGUCAAUGUUUCAGCGAAGAUUUUAUAUAUGUAGCAGAGAAGCAAACUAUAGAAAGAGCCAGUGAAUUUUAAAUGGUCUGAACAACAGAAUCUAGCAGUCUAAACAGAUUGGCUAAUACUUCCUUAGCCCUUUAUAUAACCUUGACUGUUCAGGCAAGCGCUGACUAUCCAGUUGUAGCUAGAAAAUAAAUGCUGAAUGCCCAAAGUUCAGAAAGUGCUCUGGAGGGAGACUAGGGAAUUUUAAGUAUUAUUUUCAACAUUAGCUUAGCUUUCAUUUUUAAACAGUUCUUCAAAAGCCUGAUAUGUUCAUUCUUAAUUAUCCUUUUCCCCAAAGCACUUCUGUCCUCUAGAAAUAAAUACAUCAUAAGGGAAACUUAUACAAAUGCCAAGCUCAAAUAUUUUCCUUUUGAAAACAAUGCCAGCUCCAGAAACAUAUCACAAAGAGCUGAGACUGAAGGAAACACAAGGCAGAGAUCACCAUUCCUAAGAUGCUUACCGUUUAUUCAGAAGUAUAGUAAUCAAAUGUUCCACUAUAAAGAAAUGUAACUUCAUAUAGUUCUCAUAUAUUAAGAACAGAAUCUCCUCCAGAAUAAGCAGAGACAGAAUUUCUUAAAAACUUAGAGCUUCUGCUGUAGCAUACUAGGACUGCCAUCAUCUUGAGAGCGCUGGGACCAAGGUUCCAUCCCCAGCCAGGCAUAGUGGGUUAAAGAUCUGGCAUGGCCGAAGCUGUGGCUUCGGUCUCGACUGCAGCUCUGAUCUGAACCCUGGCCCGGGAGCGCCAUAUGCUGUGGGGCAGCCAAAACUGAAAAAAACGAACAAAAAAAUCUUAGAAUAUGCUAGGGACCAUGCUUUAUGCACACUGCCUUCAUUUCUCAACACUAUAAGGUACACAGUCUUAUUAUCUCCAUUUAACAAAUGAGAAAAAUGAAGCUGAGGGAGGCUGAAAAUUGCUAUCACAAAGCCAAUUAACAAAUGGUAGCAUGGGAUUUAGAAACCCAAGCUGUCUGAUCUCAAGGUUCCAUGUGCUUAACAACUAAGGACAUUCAUUAGGAAGCGAGGUAUUUGAAGAUGCAUUCAUUUUGUUCCCUUUGACCAAGAAGAUCCCAUUUAGUUUAAUGACAGCAGCCUCUAUAAUAUAAGGACACGUUUAGGAAUUUCUCUGAGAUGUACAAACACAUUUUCAAAUAAGCUUGACCAGCUAAAAUCCACCAAAACUGAGGUAACACCAGGUAAAUGAAAAUCUUAUUUAGUUUGGAUUUAAUUUUGAAAUAUGCAGAUUUAAUUUCUAUUACGAAUUCAUUUUUGCAAUGGUCAGAGGUUUUCUGAAAACACUGAUAUUUUAAGAGAGUUGUGAAGAGUAAUAGAAAAACCACAGGUGAAUAAACUUUCAAUAAAAACAGACA